rnacentral:rRNA from 1 species
UACGAGGGGGGCGAGCGUUGUUCGGAAUUACUGGGCGUAAAGGGCUCGUAGGCGGCCAACUAAGUCAGACGUGAAAUCCCUCAGCUUAACUCCGAAACUGCAUUCGAUACUGGCGUGCUUGAGGACUGGAGAGGAGACUGGAAUUCAUGGUGUAGCAGUGAAAUGCGUAGAUAUCGGGAGGAACACCUGAGGCGAAGGCGGGCUACUGGGCCGAUACUGACGCUGAGGCGCGAAAGCCAGGGGAGCAAACGGG